rnacentral:piRNA from 2 species
UUCGGGGUAGUGUGAGCUUUUAAUGU